CAAGKUUYCCKUAGGUGAACYUGCGGAAGGAUCAUUGUCGAAACYUGCAAAGCAGACCGCGAACACGUUCACAAACAAACCGGCGCCGCGUGGCGGGGGAAACCCCGAGACGCGGCCCGAUCCCGCCGGCGCUCGCGCCGCGCGGGCUAACAAACUCGGGCGCGGAAUGCGCCAAGGAAAACGAAAUGGAGCGCCCCCCUCCCCCGAGCGCCCCGUCCGCGGGGACACGGGGGGGAAAGGGACGCCUAUCGAAUGUCUAAACGACUCUCGGCAACGGAUAUCUCGGCUCUUCGCAUCGAUGAAGAACGUAGCGAAAUGCGAUACUUUGUGUGAAUUGCAGAAUCCCGUGAACCAUCGAGUCUUUGAACGCAAGUUGCGCCCGAAGCCAUUAGGCCGAGGGCACGCCUGCCUGGGCGUCACGCAUCGCGUCGCCCCCUCCCCCCCUCUCACGGGGGUGUCGGGGCGGAGAUUGGCCCCCCGUGCGCAGCGAUGCGCGCGGCCGGCCCAAACCCGAAUCCGCCGUCGACGCAACGUCGCGACCAGUGGUGGUUGAACCCUCAACUCGCGUGCUGUCGCGUCCCGAUGCGCCGUCGGUCCGGAGAGGACAAUCACCCAACGGAGCGAUCGCGAAUCGCGCCCACGACCGCGACCCCAGGUCAGGCGGGAUCACCCGCUGAG
rnacentral:rRNA from 1 species